CCGUAAGCUCUCAGGGUCGCAUGGCCUUGUGAGGAAAGGUAGCUUCGGCCAUCCGGCGAGGGAUGGGCCCGCGGUGCAUUAGCUAGUUGGUGGGGUAAAGGCCCACCAAGGCGACGAUGCGUAGCUGGUCUGAGAGGAUGAUCAGCCACACUGGGACUGAGACACGGCCCAGACUCCUACGGGAGGCAGCAGCCAGGAAUCUUGGGCAAUGGGCGCAAGCCUGACCCAGCAACACCGUGUGGGCGAUGAAGGCCUUCGGGUCGUAAAGCCCUGUUGAUAGGGACGAAGGGCGAAGGGUUAAUAGCCCCUAGCCUGACGGUACCUUUCGAGGAAGCCCCGGCUAACUACGUGCCAGCAGCCGCGGUAAUACGUAGGGGGCGAGCGUUGUCCGGAAUUAUUGGGCGUAAAGAGCGUGUAGGCGGUUCGGUAAGUCUGUCGUGAAAUCCUGGGGCUCAACCCCGGGCGUGCGAUGGAUACUGCCGGGCUAGAGGAUGGUAGAGGCGAGUGGAAUUCCCGGUGUAGCGGUGAAAUGCGCAGAUAUCGGGAGGAACACCAGUAGCGAAGGCGGCUCGCUGGGCCAUUCCUGACGCUGAGACGCG
rnacentral:rRNA from 1 species